ACCCUUCCAUACUGUAUAUUUUAGAGCAUAUUCUGAUUUUUUUCAUAUUAGAUGCUGAUUUAAGGAAGUUAGUUGAUGGAGAUGCUAAACAUCAUGAUAAUUUGUGAUAUAAUUAUUAAUUGAAUCAUGCUUUAAAAAUGAAUUACUUAAAUUGACUUCGAAGGACUUAGAUUACAAUGCGUAGUGCUAAACUUGCUGCUGAAAAGAGUUUUGUAGAACUGAUGUUAGCUGGAAAAAUUAGUAUUUAGCAUUUUUGGAGAGGAUUGUUAGGGUUUUGGAAAUCUUGAAGCUAUGAGCAAUGGCUCCUGCUCAGUUUGAGGUUGUGUUGAAGGAAAAAAUAGGAUAAAUCUGAUUCAGAUUUGGGGUUAUACAUAGUUCAGUUUUCAUUUUCGUUGUUAAUUUUUUGAUGAGCUUGUUAAUUGCUAAAAUCCAUCUAUGAUGAGCUUGAUCUAGUGGAAAAAGAAGAAAAACACUACAUACUAUUGGUAAUGAGCAAGCUUUGUUGAUGUCAUUUGAGUUGAAUGCUCUACGUGGAAAGUCGAUAAUGCUGGCGCUGGAAAAUGAUUUCUUGUUCAAAAAUCUAUAUCCAUUAAUAAAGUCACGUGCGAUGCGUACACGCCAACAAGUCGUCCAAUCCCUACAAAUAACAGUUACAAUGCAACACAGAUUUUCAGCAACCCUGAAGCUGUUGCUGAAGAACCAUGGUAUGGUAAUGAGCAAGAGAACACACUAUUGCAUAAGAAUGUUAAGUGGCCUCUUGGAUGGCAAUCUAGUGGUUAUCACCUCAACCUCAGGUGAUUGUCACUCAAAUAGUUUUUGCUGGUUGACCUCUUGCCAGAAAACAAGUGUUUUGAUUUGAGAGUAGGUAUGACUCUAUCUGCUUCUCCUCUACGAGAGUCUUUGUUCUGGUUUUUGCUGCACUUUAGCAAUCUUCAUAGCCUUCUUUUUAUGAGGAGAAUCUUUGAAGCCCUCUCCAGGGACAACUUAACCUGAUGGUUUUGACAUCGACCUUGAUGGAUCAAGUCCAAGAGAUGAUAGCUGUCUCCCAUUCUGUCAGAUGUAAACUUUUUAUCUUUAUCGAAUUUUCUAGGAAUAGUUGGUCGGCUCUCAGCGUGCUCGUCUUAAUUCUAUGUUGUUGGUCGGCUCCAGUCCUUGGAUUUUUAGUCUUCUACAUUUCCUUUACUGACUCUGUUUUUCGCAGCACAAGGAAUUCUCUGAUCAGAUCGCUGAUCAGAGUUUCGACUGUCGACUUAAAACUUUCUUUGACAUGGUUGAUAAAGAUGCAGAUGGAAGAAUUACUGAAGAUAAAGUCAGAGAGUUGUUGUGCAGCAUUGUGGCUUCAUGGAGAUAGAGUUUCAGCAAACAAUCAUGUCUUACAUUCAAGUCAGAUCUAUGCACAAGCUUUGCUCAAUGAUAAUUGGAAGUAUUGAAGAGAGAAGGUAGAGGUCUUAUCAAUCGAAGAAGCUGCUUAAUGUAAUCUCGAUUUACUGUUUCUGAAGCAGUAAUUUAUUGUCGGGGAGAGGAGUGUUUUACUUAAUUAAAUAUUGUAUCCAUGAAUGUUUUAUUAAUUGUUGAUCAAUAAAUCUAUAAAUUACAAAAUUUGAUUUGA